CCUCAAGACGAUGAUGAUGUCGCCUCUUAUGUUCUCGCUGGUCUAGAUGAUGAAUACAACGGCUUUGUGGCUGCAAUUACAGCCCUGAUCAAGGCUCAGCAAUCUGUGAGCCUCGGUGAUCUUUACUCGCAGUUUCUUGC